rnacentral:rRNA from 1 species
UACAGAGGUCCCAAGCGUUGUUCGGAUUCACUGGGCGUAAAGGGUGCGUAGGUGGUCAGGCAAGUCUAACGUGAAAUCCCAGGGCUUAACCCUGGAACUGCGUCGGAUACUGCUUGGCUUGAGGGUUGGAGGGGGGACUGGAAUUCUUGGUGUAGCAGUGAAAUGCGUAGAUAUCAAGAGGAACACCAGUGGCGAAGGCGAGUCCCUGGACAACUCCUGACACUGAGGCACGAAAGCUAGGGGAGCAAACAGG